rnacentral:rRNA from 1 species
AGGUGUGGGGGACAUUCCACGUUUUCCGCGCCGUAGCUAACGCAUUAAGUGCCCCGCCUGGGGAGUACGGCCGCAAGGCUAAAACUCAAAGGAAUUGACGGGGGCCCGCACAAGCGGCGGAGCAUGCGGAUUAAUUCGAUGCAACGCGAAGAACCUUACCAAGGCUUGACAUACACCGGACCGCCCUAGAGAUAGGGUUUCCCUUCGGGGCUGGUGUACAGGUGGUGCAUGGUUGUCGUCAGCUCGUGUCGUGAGAUGUUGGGUUGAGUCCCGCAACGAGCGCAACCCUUGUCCUAUGUUGCCAGCACGUAAUGGUGGGGACUCAUGGGAGACUGCCGGGGUCAACUCGGAGGAAGGUGGGGAUGACGUCAAAUCAUCAUGCCCCUUAUGUCUUGGGCUUCACGCAUGCUACAAUGGCCGGUACAGUGGGUUGCGAUACUGUGAGGUGGAGCUAAUCCCUAAAAGCCGGUCUCAGUUCGGAUCGAAGUCUGCAACUCGACUUCGUGAAGUUGGAGUCGCUAGUAAUCGCAGAUCAGCAAUGCUGCGGUGAAUACGUUCCCGGGCCUUGUACACACCGCCCGUCAAGUCACGAAAGUUGGUAACACCCGAAGCCGGUGGCCCAACCCUUGUGGGGGGAGCCGUCGAAGGUGGGGCUG